rnacentral:rRNA from 1 species
CCUACUAUGUUACGACUUAUCUCAUCUUAAUAAUGAAAGCGACGGGCGAUAUGUACAUGAUUUAGAGCUUAUAUCUAACUAAGCUUAUUAAACUUACUUUACAAUCAAAUCCUCCUUCUAAUCAACUGUUUAAAUUGAUAUUCCGUAUUAAAUAAAUUUUAUUGUAACCCAUUUUAACUUAAGCAUUAGCUGCACCUUGAUCUAAUAUAUUUAACGUUAUUAACAAAUAUACAGUAAUUUAUUCUAUAAAAAUUACCUAAUAAUGAUGGUAUACAUACUACAACAAGCUUAAGUAAGAUUCUUCGUGGUGUAUCGAUUCAAAAACAGGUUCCUCUGACAAGACUAAAUCACCGCCAAAUUCUUCAAAUUUCAAGUACAUAACUUUAAAUACUUAGGGUUUGUAUAAUAUUACUUUUCGGUAU